AUUUCCUGCAGACAUGUAUUUGCUUUGACUUAGACGGAUGUAAUCUGUUCAGUUGGGCUAAAACUUACAUGCAGUUUCUAUGAUAUUGGAACAAAGAUAAUAAGUGGCAGCACCUUCAGGCUACAGUGCAGAUGUGUAUGUGCAGUGCUACUGCUUUCUGCCAGCCAUGCUCCCCCAUUCCCUGUUGCUGCAGGUGCCCAUGCUUGUCCUUCUCUUUGGCACCUAGAGAACAUACAGUUGCUUAACAGAUACAUCUCACAGGGUAUUUCAAAGGUAGGAAAACUACUGCAGAAACGUUGGCCCAAAUAUGAAUUUCACCCAAGGUGGGAGGAAAUAAUUUUCACAUUGAUUGACUUUUAGGCUGAAGAACAGGGAUUUUUCAUCUCUGACUACUGCGCUGGAAAACAAUGCAGACACUACUUCAAGCUCCUAAAGACAAGGUGAGGUUAUUAAUCAGAUACAAAACAUUCUUUCCUUUCUAAUUUCUUUUCACUACAGCUGGCAGCACACUGUUUUGAACAGAAACACCCAUCCUCUCUCCCACCAUUUUUAUCGAUGGGCAUUUCCCAGCAUUUCUGCAGAGCCACUGUGGCCACAGUGUCACUGGUCUCCACUCGAGUCUCUCCUGCCCUGCUCCCCAUUUCUGCACCUCUGUUCUUUGGACCAUAGUAUUUCUGUAUCUGUUUUUUGGGGACUAGUGUGUCCUCUUUGGAGCAGAGGACACAGCUUUUAUGUUCUGCUUUCCAUAUACUGAGUUGUGCUUUAAAAAAUGUGUUAACAGCAUUCUACAGAUGAGGAAAGGGAAAUAUACAAAUGCCACAGGAUUUUUCCAAGUGGCUGAUUUAGGCUAAGACAUAGAUCUCAUUCACAUACCCCACCCCACCUUGGGCCAAGCAGUCUUACUGUUUUCCCUCUUGCGAAACAUCUUUAUUUUUACUUGCAGACUUAAAGCAAAGUGAUGAACUCUUGACUACAAGAAAGCUAGUGGCUAGGAUAGUAAAUAAAUUUUCCAUGCCACACUGCUGCAUCUAAAAUGAAAAACUAAAGAUGACAGAUCUCUCAUUACUUUGUGUUGUUUCUUAUGUAAUUUAUGAACCUACAUUGAAUAUGUUUUGAGCCAUAAAUGUGAUCUGUAUCUGUAUUUGACAUAAAGCAUGCAAAGGACAGUUCAAAGUAUCAACAUUAGCCAUUUAUCACAACUGUUACAGUAAAUAACAUUUAGCAUGAAAUAAUGCAGUGUCAUAAUAAACAUGAAGUAGGCUAAAAUUACUUAUACUGAGGAUGCUGAGACUACUGGUAAUGAGGUGCACUGAUAAGGAGCAACAUCAAGUACUGGGGACCAGGGGUCAUGGGUUCUUUGCAAAUUCCCAACUUCUUCCUGUUGCUAAAAAGACACUUAAACUAAAACACUACCAUAAAAUAGUUUUAUAAUAAAUUCUAAGAGCUCUGUCUGGAUAAAAUAAUACCUGAUCUUCACUCCAUUAAAGCUACUCAGGGCAGAUCAAAAUAAUCCAAGCCAAUAUAUCCAAUAAAAAUGUGGGCAUACCUCAUAAUUGGUAACACAAUGCCUCCAUUCAGGGUAAUUUUUUACCAGAUUCAGAAACUGCUCUCAGCAUUCUCUCUAACUGCCCCUUUAAACCCAAACAGGAGGACUAAGCAAGAGCCUGGUCUUUUUUUGUAGUCUCUAUUUGUGUAUUGAGGUACGUGACAUACCAUCCACUAAAGGAUGAACUACAAUCUCUCUGCAAGGCAUCCAGCAUAGCAAAGAGUUCGGAACUGUAAAAAACACAGGCAUCAAUUUUCACUCUUAAACCAGAACUAAAUUGUUACUUUUUAAUUUCAGAAAUAUGCUGUGUUUCUAUACAGUGU